rnacentral:lncRNA from 1 species
ACUGGGGAAACCCGGAGUUUCAGCCAGGGUCCCAGGGCUUCCUUCCCGGGUUCCUGCCGGAAAACUUUUCUCCUCCGCCCGGAAGCCUCGAUGGGGCAGUGAGAUCGCGGGGCGAGGUGGGAGUGUGGGAGGGGGCCGCGGGCAGAGAGCGGGAGUCCGGCUGGGUGGGAGAUCUCCUGAGCCGAAGCUGGGUCUCGCCCCAGCGUGGCGCCACCGACCCGCAGGCUUUUCCUGCUCUGCAGAUGGAGAGACACAGGGACGCUCCUCAGGUGGCUGCCCUGGGCUGCCAGCCUGUCAGUGGGAGGGGAGGGUGCAGACAAGAGGCCCCUGUUUCCGAAACCCCUCUGUCCCCAAAGCUGCGACAGCAGAAGACACUUAGGCGGCCUGAGGGGUUGGUGAACCACAGAGGAGCUCAGCUUCGCCUGGUCUCCAGCUCCCGGUGGCGGUGGCGUGUCCUUAAUGCUGCUGGCUUUGAACUGGACUGAGAACUAUUUACCACACAAACACCACCAUUUCAAUCCCGGAGAAUGCCUGUUUUCCCUAGGGUGACCUGGCCGGGGUAACAAACACUUGUUCUCUAAUUCCACGGUCAGCCUUGACUUAAUUGAGCCUGUCCUGCUCUGGCCUGCCCUGUGCUCAGGAAGCUGGCGGUCCCCCUCAGUGGAUCUUCACCCACAGGGACAACCUGCUGCAGACCGGGUAGGAGGGAGGCAGGGGCCUCUUCCCCUCUCCUUCCUGGCCUGGCCCCACACCCACCAGUGUUGGUUUCACUCUGUGGCUACGAUUCUUCCUGGGUGCCCUUUCCAUUGCACAACUCCUCUAGGCUCUACGAACAGAACUUCUCCCCGCCCCCAAGCCUCUUAGGGUGAGACAUGUUGUCGGUCUGCCAUUGUUGCUGGUCCCUAAAUAGCAGCACCCUUUGAAGGAUCCUUGAACCAUGACCACACCGCAACAAAGAGUCCUUCAUCAAACUCGCUUCCAAAUCCCCUCCCAAGAACACCUUCAGUUUCCUGCAAGAACCCUGACUGCUGAAGCCGGAUUUUGACUAAGCUUCUACCUUGUAAACCGUGACUGUGGGAUUGGGGUCGAGGCGCAAUCAGAGGUUGUAUAAGGCACUAGAUCAAGGCUGCCUGUCUGUCAGGAGUGUCUGCUUUAUUCAGUAGUAAAUGUGAAUUGUUUUUCA